GACGAACGCUGGCGGCGUGCUUAACACAUGCAAGUCGAACGGAAAGGCCUCUUUCGGGGGGUACUCGAGUGGCGAACGGGUGAGUAACACGUGAGUAACCUGCCUUUGACUUUGGGAUAACUUCAGGAAACUGGGGCUAAUACCGGAUAGGAGCUCCUGCUGCAUGGUGGGGGUUGGAAAGUUUCGGCGGUUGGGGAUGGACUCGCGGCUUAUCAGCUUGUUGGUGGGGUAGUGGCUUACCAAGGCUUUGACGGGUAGCCGGCCUGAGAGGGUGACCGGCCACAUUGGGACUGAGAUACGGCCCAGACUCCUACGGGAGGCAGCAGUGGGGAAUAUUGCACAAUGGGUGGAAGCCUGAUGCAGCAACGCCGUGUGCGGGAUGACGGCCUUCGGGUUGUAAACCGCUUUCGCUCAUGACGAAGCUUUGUGUGACGGUAGUGGGUAAAGAAGCACCGGCUAACUACGUG
rnacentral:rRNA from 1 species